rnacentral:misc_RNA from 1 species
AUACACAACAAGACCCUUGAUAUUUCAAUUCACAGUUUAACCAAUGAAAUCCAAGGUCCUGCAACCAGGAUUGGUGAAACCCGAAGAUCAGAUAUGUUUCUAAGCAUCAGAUAAUUUUAUCCUUGCCUUUCUUGGGCGAUAUCCUACAUCAGAUACAUCUUAACCCAAAUCUGUCUCUAACUUAUGAGCAUGUUUAUACACAUGGCGAACUAAAAUGUUAAAACAACUACCCUUACCAUACUUAUACAGGGGCUGCAAGAAGGCCCACGCUGGCCCUUUGACAUAACGAUGACAUGAGAAUUAUGAAUUGGUUGGUAGGAGAUGCAAGCUACACUAGGUAGGGAUGGAUGCCCUCCCUACCUUGGACUAGUUACCUACUUUGUGAAGGGAGGAAAGCUUUGUACCCUUUAAGGCAGGCAUUUUUGUUAGCCAGAUACACAAUCUGCCACUUCUUUUCUUUUGACAUAGCCAGACAAUAACAUCUUAACAAGUCUCAAACCAGAGGGACAAGAUUUCCUUACUCUUGCUAGUUCUAGAUAUCCAUCUCAGGUUCCUUGUUUCUUGACAAAGUUAGAGGUUUAGGCAUCAAUUAUUCUGCUCAAUACCUUCUCCUUCGAAGAACCUUCUAUUAGUCAUCACAACAUAUUGCUGUAUUUAAAUAAUACAGCAAGUAAAGGUCUUGGGGCAAGUAACAAAGAAAAAAAUUUGGAUAAUAAAAUCAUUCUUAUCAAGGCUGUGAAAAUUAGGAUUCUACCUUGAGUUGGUGGAUUAUCUUAAUUAUCAGAUAACCAAAACCAACUGCAAAGAUGCAAAACCUUAUCAUCUAUCAAAUUAACUCCAAUGUGAAGGUAAAAAUGCAAAAGUCAUAAUAAUUGGAUCGUUG